AGAGUUUGAUCCUGGCUCAGGAUGAACGCUAGCGGCAGGCUUAAUACAUGCAAGUCGUGGGGCAGCAUGGUGUAGCAAUACACUGAUGGCGACCGGCAAACGGGUGCGGAACACGUACGCAACCUUCCUUUAACUGGAGAAUAGCCCGGGGAAACCCGGAUUAAUACUCCGUAACAUUAUGAAGUGGCAUCACUUUUUAAUUAUAGCUCCGGCGGUUGAAGAUGGGCGUGCGUCUGAUUAGGUAGUUGGCGGGGUAACGGCCCACCAAGCCUACGAUCAGUAACUGGUGUGAGAGCACGACCAGUCACACGGGCACUGAGACACGGGCCCGACUCCUACGGGAGGCAGCAGUAAGGAAUAUUGGUCAAUGGACGCAAGUCUGAACCAGCCAUGCCGCGUGAAGGAUGAAGGUCCUCUGGAUUGUAAACUUCUUUUAUUUGGGAAGAAACCCAUGAUUUCUAUCGUGGUUGACGGUACCAGAUGAAUAAGCACCGGCUAACUCCGUGCCAGCAGCCGCGGUAAUACGGAGGGUGCAAGCGUUAUCCGGAUUCACUGGGUUUAAAGGGUGCGUAGGCGGGUUGGUAAGUCCGUGGUGAAAUCUCCAAGCUUAACUUGGAAACUGCCGUGGAUACUAUCAAUCUUGAAUAUAGUGGAGGUGAGCGGAAUAUGUCAUGUAGCGGUGAAAUGCUUAGAUAUGACAUAGAACACCCAUUGCGAAGGCAGCUCGCUACACUAUUAUUGACGCUGAGGCACGAAAGCGUGGGGAUCAAACAGGAUUAGAUACCCUGGUAGUCCACGCCCUAAACGAUGAUUACUCGACAUCAGCGAUACACUGUUGGUGUCUGAGCGAAAGCAUUAAGUAAUCCACCUGGGAAGUACGACCGCAAGGUUGAAACUCAAAGGAAUUGACGG
rnacentral:rRNA from 1 species